rnacentral:rRNA from 1 species
GACGAAGGGGGCUAGCGUUGUUCGGAAUUACUGGGCGUAAAGCGAGUGUAGGCGGUUGCCCAAGUCAGGUGUGAAAGCCUUGAGCUCAACUCAAGAAAUGCACUUGGUACUGGGUGGCUAGAGGACCGGAGAGGAUAGUGGAAUUCCCAGUGUAGUGGUGAAAUACGUAGAGAUUGGGAAGAACACCAGUGGCGAAGGCGGCUAUCUGGGACGGUACUGACGCUGAGGCGCGAAAGCGUGGGGAGCGAACAGG